UUGUUGUUGUUUUUGGUUUUUUCAGUUUUGUUCUGUAGCAUUUUCUCUAAAAAAAAAAAUCAAACUGUACAGUUUUGUCCCACUCAGUGAUUGGAAAUAGGAUGCAUCUUGUUAACACAAAACAAUAUGCUUCUUCCUAGUGCCUUCUCAAUGAGAUCCUCUUGUGAUUCCGUGUGCUGAGUCCUUACGCCCACAAGACAACCUUGUGGCUGCUCUUCAUCAAGAACGGUGAUCCAACCAGAUGGGGAAGAAACGCCUUUGGCCUUCAGUUCCUCCUGGUUUCUGUUGUAAAUGUGAAGGUGAAUUGUUGCUUCGGGGCUUACAUGUAGCUGUGCCCUGUGCAAAGUGCAUGCACAGAGCUAGAGGAGCGCGUGUUGGAAGUGCCAGCACACCAUCUGGUCGCUGUGUUUGGUGUGCAGUGAAAGGCAGGUGAAUGGUUUGUGUCUGAGGGAAGCGUCCUUUCAAAAGGCUGUGUUUUAAGCAGAAUUCCUUUGCUUUCACUGUCAGCAGUUCUGUAUGAUGAAAAUACUGCAGGAGGGAAAACUUCUGUCUGGGAAGCAAGCUUCAGCAGCCCCAUGUAUAAAUCCAGGUACUUUGCCAUGAACAGUACUCAAAUCUAGGGUGCAUCCUACAAGGCUGGGGUUUCUGGGAAGGCAGAGGAGUUGGUAGCAUUAUUUUCCUCAAACACCAUUGCCACGUGUGCUGCUCUGAUUAACUGAGGGGCUGCUCAGUUGCUUAUCCCAUUUCUCUUUCUCUCAUCUCAAUAACCACACGGCUUCUCAUUCUGCUAACUCAACUGGAAGCCGUAGAUUCUAGACAAGCAAGACUGAUCCUGUUUGGAGAGACUGAACUUGAGAACCACACUCAUACUUUGUUUUGAAAGCUCAUUUCAUGAUCUCAACGUUGAGUUUCUUACAUACCAUUUCAAGCACUGGCAGCAUAUUCUGUAAAGUUUUUUUUUUUAACCUGUUAACUCAAUUUGAAUGCUUCAGAAACAGCUUUGACUGCAUAACUUAAAGUUAAAAGUAUUUUUUUCUAGUCUGAUCUUUAAAGCAGGAAAAAGUCUGUCAUACCCAUGCAUGCUGGAGCUGUAACACUUCUCUUUUUCCUGGCAGCUUCUUGGUAGAGUGCUGAAGUCUCAAUAGGCAGCUCAGUAGUGAGUGUUGUUCUUUUUUGAACCGUGGUCCAACUUGUACAAAAGAGUUAGCAUGAUACUGCAUUUUAAUCAAGAUAUUUUUUUUUUUCAAGUGUGGUCACUUUGUGCCUCUGGUACAGUAGCAGUACUGUACUGGCAUAGCAAUUAAAGGAGGAUUGUGUUUCUUGGGGAGGAUGGGAAUGGGACUGAAAGGAGACGAAAGCCGCUGUCGGACUGCUUCCAUGAACUGCUGUGCCAGGAGCUGUGACCAUAACCGUUCUGCUUUCAGACCCGGUUCAUGCUGCAAAAAGCACUCUCUUUUGUUAGGAGGCCCCACAAUAGAUUGGGAAGGCUGUGGUCAUCCCAGGAAAACACUGGUUGUGAACAUGGCAGUGCCUGGAAUUGAAGGAUUCUGCUUCAGAGCCCGAGCAGGGAGUGGAGGUGCUGGGCUGGGGCUGCCCUGAACAGCUGGGAGUCGCAUGGAGAAUGCAACACACUGACCAGGAUUUACUGGAACUCCAUGUACCUCGUGAAAUAAGCUCUUGGUUGGGGCUGUGGGAGCUCUCCCUUUGCUGCUCACUCGUUUUUCUGCUGUUUUGUUUCUGGAAGUCAUCAUGUUUCUGUGCAUCUAGUUCAUUUCUCUGGGCUGAGAGAUCUGUUGGUAGCGAUCUGGCCAUCGUUAGCACUGAUGGUCAUUGAAAAGCAUUUUUAAUGUGCUAGGGAAACUGACUCCAGUUUGAAAGGAGCUGUGCUUGUCCGUUUUUAUCAAGGAUAGUAUUGCAGAGAGUGGUCAGUCUCGUUUUACCCACAGUUAUUGCUGACUUUCUGCACUGGAUGUGGAUGAGUGGACAUGUAGAGCUGUUGACCCAAGGAGGUGGGAGGCAGAAAUCUGUUGGGCAUUGGGGCUGAGUAGAUGUGGGCAGCCCAACUUCUGAGUAUUCUGACUGAUCCUUCCUUCCUACUCAUUUACUCAGUUUUCAGCCUCUUGUGAGUUCUUGGUUCCUUUCUUUCUCUACUUACCUGCCUCGUUGCAGGUGCACCAGUAAAUGUGGCUUGAAAGGAAGGCAGGGAAAAGAAAUAGAUGCCUUCAGGCUUGCUUCUUUUUAAGGAAAACGAAGUUACAAAUGUCUUUGAUUUUUUCCUCAAUAUUUGUAUUUCAUGAGCACUCUUCACAACCUUCACACUCAGUAUUGGUGAAUUGAAGGGAUGAGCUUAGAAGAUCAUGAGCUUUUUGGAGGUGUGGGGGUAGUUGCUGGGCUGAGAAGUUGCAGCGUGCAAACCGGGUCCCACUGACUGCAGCAGGGCACCUUGGAGUUGAAGUCCCUUCUGUUUCCAUCUCAGUGCUUAGGGAUGGGUGUCCAGGGAUCAAACGUGUGGUGAAGAGCCCCUGUUGCUGCCAUACAGCCAUAGGAACAGCCUCAGCCACGCAGUGUGAUGGAGAAGCGUUCACCUUCCAGCAGCGUUAGCAGCUCGUAGACUUCUGGGUGUGUUUGUAAAGCUGGUCUUUUCUACACUGUGUGAAAUGAACUGAAAUGAUUUCUUUGCUGUUGUACCCGUGGAAGUACAAGCCAUUUUGGGGGGGAGGGAGGGAGGGGGUGGCAGAAACCUUCAAGAAAAAAGAAGAAAUUAAAAUGUUAUCUCAGUAUUCUCAUCGACUCCUCCAAUGUUGUUUUUUUUUCCCUCCUGCUGAUUGGUUGUCAGGGCUUGACAAGGGUUUGCAAAACCGUAUGAAGAACUUAUUAAGAAUGCUACCACUUCUCCUGCUCUCUUAUCCCCUUCCCUCUGUUCCUCAGCAAGCAAAGCCCCACAUCUCUGAGGAUCCUUAAGCAUUGGAGGUACAGAGUGGAUUCAGGUGUGAGUGCCCUGAAAUUCCAGUUGAUUGACACCCCUGGUUUUUAAAUGGAGCUGUUUGUUUUCAAUGCCAGCUGCCUUCUCGCGGUGUUAACAUAAUUGCAAAAUAAAAGCAAUUUCCAGGAAUAA